UGGACCGAUGAUGAUGACUGGUGGCGUAUGAGUCAUGGAUGAUGAGGACUGACAUGUGUCUGAAACUCUGAGGUCCGA
rnacentral:snoRNA from 1 species